GACGAACCGUGCGAACGUUGUUUGGAAUCACUGGGCCUAAAGGGCGCGUAGGCGGCUUUUCAAGUCAGGGGUGAAAUCCGGCAGCUUAACUGUCGAAGUGCCCUUGAUACUGAUGAGCUCGAGGGAGGUAGGGGUAUGUGGAACUUCCGGUGGAGCGGUGAAAUGCGUUGAUAUCGGAAGGAACGCCGGUGGCGAAAGCGACGUACUGGACCUCUUCUGACGCUGAGGCGCGAAAGCUAGGGGAGCAAACAGG
rnacentral:rRNA from 1 species